rnacentral:rRNA from 1 species
GUGAGGAAUAUUGGUCAAUGGUCGGAAGACUGAACCAGCCAAGUAGCGUGCAGGAUGACGGCCCUAUGGGUUGUAAACUGCUUUUGUGCGGGAAUAACGUUGUGCUCGUGAGCGCAAGUGCAUGUACCGUACGAAUAAGGAUCGGCUAACUCCGUGCCAGCAGCCGCGGUAAUACGGAGGAUCCGAGCGUUAUCCGGAUUUAUUGGGUUUAAAGGGAGCGUAGGCGGAGGAUCAAGUCAGCUGUGAAAUGUAGGCGCUUAACGUCUGCACUGCAGUUGAAACUGGUUCCCUUGAGUGCGUAAGGGGCAGGCGGAAUUCGUCGUGUAGCGGUGAAAUGCUUAGAUAUGACGAAGAACUCCGAUCGCGAAGGCAGCUUGCCGGGCCGCAACUGACGCUGAAGCUCGAAGGUGCGGGUAUCGAACAGG